rnacentral:tRNA from 1 species
GAGGUUGUGGCUCAGUGGUAGAGCACUCACCUAGCAUGUGUGAGGCCCUGGGUUCAAUCCUCAGCACCACA